rnacentral:ncRNA from 1 species
GGUUAAGCGACUAAGCGUACACGGUGGAUGCCCUGGCAGUCAGAGGCGAUGAAGGGCGUGCUAAUCUGCGAUAAGCGCCGGUAAGGUGAUAUGAACCGUUAUAACCGGCGAUACCCGAAUGGGGAAACCCAGUGUGAUUCGUCACACUAUCAUUAACUGAAUCCAUAGGUUAAUGAGGCGAACCGGGGGAACUGAAACAUCUAAGUACCCCGAGGAAAAGAAAUCAACCGAGAUUCCCCCCAGUAGCGGCGAGCGAACGGGGAGGAGCCCAGAGCCUGAAUCAGCAUGUGUGUUAGUGGAAGCGUCUGGAAAGGCGCGCGAUACAGGGUGACAGCCCCGUACACAAAAGCGCAUGUGCUGUGAGCUCGAUGAGUAGCUGAGACUGCC